UACAGAGGGUGCUAGCGUUGUUCGGAAUUACUGGGCGUAAAGGGCGCGUAGGCGGCCUAUCAAGUCAGACGUGAAAGCCCCGGGCUUAACCUGGGAUGUGCGUUUGAUACUGGUAGGCUAGAGGUCUGGAGAGGAGAGUGGAAUUCCUAGUGUAGAGGUGAAAUUCGUAGAUAUUAGGAGGAACAUCAGUGGCGAAGGCGACUCUCUGGCCAGAUACUGACGCUGAGGCGCGAAAGCGUGGGGAGCAAACAGG
rnacentral:rRNA from 1 species